ensembl:lncRNA
UGAGGUGAACCGCCGUGGUCUUCGUGGGGGCCGGGCCGUGACUGGGCACCUUCCGGGCCUCCCCCGCACCCCGGCCCGCCUCUGUCCCCCCCGGGCCGGUGACCUUCGAGGGGGGCUUUUCUUUGGGGGUCGGGUUUUGAAGGUGACCGCCGUGGUCUCGUGGGGGGGCCGGGCCCGGUGAUUGGACACAUCCUGCCCUUUGCCUCCGCGGCCCGGCCCCGGCCCCGGGCCGCCGGCGCGCAGACCGCGGGGAGCCACGGCGGACCCCGACAGCGCUGGCUGGUUGCGGCUGGUCGCGGCCGCCCAGGCUCUCCCCGGAAGCCGCCGCCGGAGGCGCCUGGUGCGGCCCGGGCUUUAACCUGGGCCUUUUUACGGACGCGAACCGAAGCUGCGCUCUGUGUUUCCGGGAUCCGAUGCAUGAAACGCGCAACUCGCGUUGUGAUCACAAGGGGGAGGGGCACGGUCAGCCACGGGGUCGUGUCCUGGUGUUUGGGAGAAUCGUGGCGUCGACCAGCAGUUCGCAUCUCUGCAGGGCACCGGAAGGUGAGCUUUCUCGCUGGCUCCCGAACACGCCCUGUGUGGAUCUGGUGACGGCGGCUCUGCACCCGGAGAGGGCGGCUUCAGAGCUGGCACCAACGGCAACGCGGCAGAGCCCCAGCAACAGAGUCGGGAUUGGCAGGCAGGCUGGGCGCGGGGCGGGCUGAGCUCACAAAGGGCCGGGGGAGGGGCCGGGCGGGUGCGUGCCGGGCCGCGGGCUGCCCUUCCCCCACGGGCGCAGUUCCGGUGAAGGUCACAGCCUCCUACCUGGCGUCUUUCAGCACCGUCGAACGCCUGAGCGCAAGGUGCAACGAACGUUUGUUCCCCAUGGAGGUGACGUCAGAGAACUCGGUGGGGAAAGCUGGCUGUCCUUGGUCACAGAUUAUAUAACCAAAAAAGGCUCAAGUUUAUGCGCAGGUUAGAAGGCUUGCCAAAAAAAAAAAGCCCCAGGGAGCCAGUGAACUCAUUCUUUUUCCUGUUUGCGUGGGUACUUUUGAAUUGGUUCGAAUUACGUGGCUCAAAAAUAACCAGCUCCCUUCCUGGCAGUGGAAGUGACACCGCAGGUGCGGCCUCCAGAGACGCCUCCUGAGCGGGAAGUCACUUCAUCUGCUUGGCUUUGUUCUCGGUGUUGCUUUCAAAUUGUGGAAAAACACAGGCAACAUAACACUUAGCAUAUUUCAGCUUGCAGCCCGGCGGCGUGCAUUCUGUCCACUGUGCAGCGGUCACCAGCACCCCUCCCUCCCCAGAAUUCUCUCUCCCUCGUCUUCCCAGUCUGGAACUCUGUCCCCAUCAAACAGCAGCCCCCACCCCUCUUUCCCCAGCCCGGGCCCCUCCACUCUACGAAUUUAAUGUCUCCAGCUAUGUCAUAGAAUGAGCUUUUAAUUUUUUUUUAAGCACAAAACAAUAGAUGAAAAAAAUUUUCCAAAGCUUCACAGCUUUUCUGGGAAGUUCAAAGCCUUUAACAGUUACCGCCCCCUGGUGUUUUUUCCGUGUCUUGCCCUAGGGACACAGGGUACAGCUGCAUCUGUCACUUGGAGUCAGGCCCGUUCCCUUCAGAAAGAACCUGGGCCUUUAGUUCCCUUCGCCCUCCUUGACCCGGCCAGCGCGUCCCUUCCUGCGGGCUCAGGUCAUGGUUGUUAAGCUCCCCAAAGACCCCAAGCCCUCCAG